CAAUGGCUCUAAAUAGCCAGAAAACGGCACUUUCAAUUUUUCCAUCCUACAAGAUCUAGAUAAUUCUUGUCGUAAAAUGGGCAAAUGGUCUGAGGUGCCUAACGUCCAGGCAUUCUUUUACAUAUCAGUCCCUCCCCUCUGUUCCCAAUGCAACUCAUCCCAAAUCUUCCUUCUUUCCCUUCCGCCUGUCCCCUCAGUCCCAACCCCAAGCAUUGCUGGGUCUUUCUAAUCUUCCUUUUCUACAGACCCAUCUGACCUCUCCCCUCCUCGCCAGGCCGAGCUAGGUCCCAAUUCUUCCUCAGCCUCGGCUCCUCCACCCUAUAAUCCUUUUAUCACCUCCCCUCCUCACACCCAGUCCAGCUUACAGUUUCAUUCCGCAACUAGCCGUCUCCCACCUGCCCAGCAAUUUCCUCUUAAAAAGGUGGCUGGAGCUAAAGGCAUAGUCAAGGUUGAUGCUCCUUUUUCUUUAUCCGACCUCUCCCAAAUCAGUUAGCGUUUAGGCUCUUUCAUCAAAUAUAAAAACCCAGCCCAGCUCACGGCUCAUUUGGCAGCAGCCCUGAGACGCUUUACAGCCCUAGACCCUGAAAGGUCAAAAGGCCGUCUUAUUCUCAAUAUACAUUUUAUUUUUUACCCAAUCUGCUCCCGACAUUAAAUAAAUCUCCAAAAAUUAAAUUCCAGCCCUCAAACCCCACAACAGGACUUAAUUAACCUCACCUUCAAGGUGAACAAUAAUAGAGUAGCAGCAGCCAAGUAGCAACAUAUUUCUGUGUUGCAAUUCCUUGCCUCCACUGUGAGCCAAACCCCAGCCACAUCUCCAGCACACAAGAACUUCCAAACGCCUGACGGCAGCUGCAAGGCGUUCCUCCAGAACCUCCUCCCACAAGAGCUUGCUACAAGUGCAAGAAAUCUGGCCACUGGGUCAAGGAAUGCCCACAGCCCAGGAUUCCUCCCAAGCUGUGUCCCAUCUGUGCCACUGAAAAUCGGACUGUUCAACUCACCUAGCAGCCACUCCCAGAGGCCCUGGAACUCUGGCCCAAGGCUCUCUGACUCCUUCCCAGAUCUUCUCGGCUUAGCAGCUGAAGACUGAGACUGCCCGAUUGCCUCGAAAGCCUACAGGACCAUCACAGACUCUCUGGGUAACUCACAGUGGAAGGUCUGGAGAAAUACAAUGAUCCUGAAGAAAACCUGAGCUUAUGUGAAGCAACUUUGUUUUCCUUUGACAAACUCCCAUUUCCAACACCAGAAUCCAACUGCAAGGAAAUGAAGCAUAAACAGCUGAAUUUAGAAAUCUUCUAAUUCUGAUUUUUUUAUUUUUGUUUUUGAGACAAAGUCUUGUCCUGUGGCCCAGGCUGGAGUGCAAUAGUGUGAUUAUAGCUCACUGCAGCCUCGAACUCCUGGUCUCAAGUGAUCCUCCCACCUCAGCCUCCCAAGUAGCUGGGACUACAGGCAAGAGUCACCAUGCCUAGCUACUUUUUUUUAUUUUUGUAAAGAUGGAAUCUUGCUAUGUUGCCCAGGCUGGUCUCCAACUCCUGGCCUAAACAAUCCUCCCACCUUAGCUUCCCAAAGUGCUGGAAUUAUAGACAUAAGCCACCAUUCCCAGCCUAAUUCAUAUUUUUAAGCAGGAAGCAUAGUCUACCUUAUAACUCCUAUGCUCUUCUUCCAAAACCUUUACCCUGUAGUUUAUGAACUGCGAUGAAGGACCAAGUAUAUCUCCAUUCUAACAGCACAUUAUAAUGUCCACACAAUAUAUAAAUAAAAGAAAAGCAGGCCGGUCACGGUGGCUCACACCUGUAAUUCCAGCACUUUCAGAAGCCAAAGUGGGUGGAUCACUUGAGGCCAGGAGUUGAAGACCAGCCUGGCCAAAAUGGUGAAACCCCGUCUCUACUAAAAAUAUAAAAAUUAGCCAAGUGAUGGUGGCACAUGCCUGUAAUUCCAGCUACUUGGGAGGCUGAGGCAGGAGAAUCACUUGAACCUGGGAGGCAGAGGUUGCAGUGAGCCAAGAUCAUGCCACUGCACUCCAGCCUGGACAACAGAGCGAGACUCCAUCUCAAAAAAAAUAAAAAGAAAAAAAGAAAGGCAAUGUGGUACCAUGCCUUAGGAUCGUACAUACGUCACCCAACUCGCUUACCUACUGUAAUGGACGUUUGUUGCUCUUGCUUGUACGGCACUCUUUUUCUAGAUCUUCCUUUGGACAACCGCCUCCUCCCUGCCUUCAUUCCUGUGGUUUGGUGAAGCUGACACUUCUCCCAGCUAUAGGGAGGGGCGUGAGCCACAGGCCAAAGUCAAUCAGUGCAUUCCAUCCACCAGCCCAGAGACUGAAUCAGCAAAGGUCCCAGAGCUCCACUUGGGCCAAUGGCAGUCAGGCCAAGGACUUUGUGGAACUGUUGCUCAGAGGACAGGUACUCACCUUGCACUGAAACUGGAGUGAUGGGAGUAUGAACCUGGGGCUACUAACAGCCAUCUUGCCCCAGAAGGAAGUACUUCCCUAAGUUUAAUGCCUACCCAGAGGAGGGCAGAGCAGAUAGACAAGAGACAGGGUUCUGGGGUCAACUGUGUCUGAAGUCAGAGACAUGAAAUAAAUUUCGUUUUUUGCUCAGAUUCAGGUCUUGCACAGAAACUGAGCCUUGAUUUUCCGCAGAAUAUACUGUGACCAAGCCUCCUGCAGGGCUGCCUGUACGUUAAAGAAAUGGAAGCGUCUUGAAUCGUGUCCAUCGUCCCUCCUUUACACAAAGUAAUCACCUCCAGCUGGGCCAAGUUGAUUGAGGAAACGUUCAGUUUUCACAUGAUUUUGCUGUAGCACCAUAAUGAAUGUAUUUCUUUGAUGGAAGAAAGAAGCUUCAUGAAAUAAACUGCUUAAGGAUUUGAAGUUGGAGCUGAAAACAUGGGCUGCUUUGUUCUUAAUGACAACUGCUUUGCCAUCUAAAACAUUUCUCCUUUUUGAAGGAUCUGUCUUUUCUCUUCCAGCCACAACCCUCGAGCUACAAUAACAGGCUCAUGAUUUUUUUAGAUGCCAAGGUUAUGAAUACUCUUUUAUGAAUAUUUUCCUUUGAACUCAUUUCUCUUGAAGAAGAAAAAUAGCCCUACAUAUUGCAGGAUUGACAAUAACAGACAAAACGUACAAAUUGUUCUCUUAGGGGCAGUAAAAUGCUCCAAAAUGCACAUAGAAAAAUUCCAAAUGCAACCUGAUGUUUAUGGAGCACUGCCUUUGCAGCUAUAAUUUUUAGAAAGUAAUAUUUCUGACUGACAUGAAUUAUACAGAGCAUAUUUCAGAGACUAAUAUCAGGUUAAUGCCUUAAAAUGUCUCCGUUUAUGACAUCAUGGCUGCUUUUCCUAUAUCAGUGCAAACUCUUAGUGAGUAGAAUUUGAGGAUAUGUCUUUUCAAAGGAAGAAAACCUUCACUGAAUUAAGCUGCUUAUGGUUUUAUUUUUUCUUUUAUCCCAUUUCAACAUAUCCACCAACCUCCUCUAAAAAUAAUUCAACUAAUGUGAACUCAACAGAUUAUAGUAGAUCUCUUAUUAAUUUCAUUUUGCCUCCAAAGGAGCUUAUCAUUUAGGCUUAUAAUUAUGUAUGCAGUACUGUCGACUAAUGUUUAGGUUCCUCAUUAAAACUUCAUUUCAUUCUGUUUUAAUAUCAUCAGUCUGUUAGACCAUUUAUUUUCUCAUGUUAAAAAAUAUGUGUUUUCCCUGAACUCUUUCCAUAUGUUUUCUCUCAUCCAAAAAAUCCAGAAAACUCAGCUCCCUUUAAUCCUGCUUUGUGGCUUAGAUACUUUAGCCUGGAACCACUCGUGUUGAUUUGUAUAUACCCACACUUACGCAAAAAUAGCCUUCACUACGGCAGAGUAAUCAUUCUGCAUAGAAAUUAUGUGUCUCUGAAGCCUAUGUUGUCAGGUGAAUCGUGGCAGCAAUGACCUAAGAAUGCAUCCCCAGUUUGAAAUGACCUAUAAAAAUUUCAAGAUACAACUAUUGCUUUGCAUUUGGCAUCGGGAAUAUUCUGUAUAGUUCUUUUCAUGUAAAUGGGCAAUAUUCUAGAAUGGUUCCCAAGUAUAAGCUUUAGAGCUAGACUUCUUGGGUACAACUCCCACUAUUACCACUUACUAGUUAUGUAAUAUUGGAAAAUACACUUAACUACUCUGAGCAUCAUAAAGUAAGCUUACUAACA
rnacentral:lncRNA from 10 species